CCUACGGGUGGCUGCAGUCGAGAAUCUUCGGCAAUGGGGGCAACCCUGACCGAGCGACGCCGCGUGGUGGAUGAAGGCCUUCGGGUUGUAAACACCUGUUGGGGGGGAACAAUUUUGAGUGAACCCCUGAGGAAGCACGGGCUAAGUUCGUGCCAGCAGCCGCGGUAAGACGAACCGUGCAACCGUUACUCGGAAUCACUGGGCUUAAAGCGCGCGUAGGCGGCGGCGUAAGUCAGAGGUGAAAUCCCAUCGGCUCAACCGUGGAAUUGCCUCUGAUACUGCGUUGCUUGAGGGGGAACGGGGCAUCCGGAACUUCCGGUGGAGCGGUGAAAUGUGUUGAUAUCGGAAGGAACGCCGGUGGCGAAAGCGGGAUGCUGGGUCUCUUCUGACGCUGAGGUGCGAAAGCUAGGGUAGCGAACGGGAUUAGAUACCCCUGUAGUC
rnacentral:rRNA from 1 species